GGCUACGUAGCUUAGUUGGUUAGAGCACGGCACUCAUAACGCCGAGGUCACAGGUUCAAAUCCUGUCGUAGCUA
rfam:Glossina pallidipes, whole genome shotgun sequence.